rnacentral:lncRNA from 1 species
AGAAGGACUCACCAUCCCUGUGCUCUUGCUUCAGAAGUACUGAGGAGCAUAACACCUCUGCAUUGAGGUGAUGUCAAAACCAUCCGUGAUCUUCUGGUGCUUGAAAAACAAGUUUCAUAGCACUUCAUCUUUAAAGCCUGAGGGAGCUCUUGGCUACACAGGAGAGCUCUCCUGCAUUUCUGCCACCAAAGGCAGUGCUAUGCAGAAGGACAGCUGGGGUCCUGCCUGCCUGUGAACAGCUCAAAAGCUGAGCUCCAGAGGAGUUGGUGCCUUCAAGAAGUGAGAUGUCAGCUCAGCCUGCACCCAGCAUCUGCUUAUGAUGUGAUUUGGUACAAGGUGUUCAUGCCCUGCUUCCUAUUGCGGCAUGUGUCCGACCGCCAGUGAUCUCUCUGACCCGGCUGGCAGCAGAGUGGCUGGAGACGGGCUGCAACGCGUGCUGGAGGAUGCAGGCACCCAACGUGGGGCACUGGAGAGCACCAGCCCCCCAGCAAACGUGGGGUACUGAGGACAGCUCAGAGAGAUUACCUGUGUGAGGCCCAAGAACACCGCGGGCUUUGGUACUCGGGAGCGAGGUUUUGUGAGGAUCAGCAGAGAAGAGAGGGGAUAGAGAAAUGCUACCAGGAUCCAUUUCCUUUUCAUUAUUUGAGCUUUGUAAAAGCAGUGUGGAGGCCAAGGCAAGAGGAGGCCAGUAGGAGCUCCCCAGAUAUGGCUGGAGUUGCUGCCCUGGUUGUACACUCUCUGCAAGGAGCAGUCCUUCUGUGACUGCACCAUCUUCAUUGGGAAUGUGCAUUUUAGAAUGCUCAAAAUGGUUUUGGCUCUUGCCAGCCUGCUGUUUAAAUCCGUGUUGGACAGCACAGAUACCAUCUCCAAUUGAUGCUUCUGUGGUAACACCUUAGGAGU